GGGAUACUUGCUCCGUCCAACGAAGGAUGUUUCAAGUUUGUCAAUUUUUGAAUGUAUCUAGAUGUGAUUUAGUGUACAGAUGCAUACAAAUUUAGUCAGAGUUGAGACAUCUUUUGUUGGACGGAGGGAGCACAAU
rfam:Brachypodium distachyon strain Bd21 chromosome 2, whole genome shotgun sequence.